AUCUAAUCUCUAUUACCUCCUAUGACCAGACGGCUUGGUGACAAACUCGAUCCGAUUACUUCGCUACUCAGAUCAUCUAAUCAAAAUAAUUUAGAUCUAAUCUAAAUUAUUUUAGAUCUGAUUAUUAUAUUUUGAUCAUAUCAAAAUUAGAUAAUAAUCAUCAUAAAAAUCAUAUACUUCAAAUUAAAAUCAGAUUUUAUAAAAAUCAACAUAAAAUAGAAUAACCUUUGCAUUGUAAGAGGUAAACCUUACAGCAGAACAACCUUAUAUCAGUUUGUGCUACC
rnacentral:lncRNA from 1 species